GAUGAACGCUGGCGGCGUGCCUAAUACAUGCAAGUCGAGCGAACAGACGAGGAUCUUGCUCCUCUGACGUUAGCGGCGGACGGGUGAGUAACACGUGGAUAACCUACCUAUAAGACUGGGAUAACUUCGGGAAACCGGAGCUAAUACCGGAUAAUAUAUUGAACCGCAUGGUUCAAUAGUGAAAGACGGUUUUGCUGUCACUUAUAGCUGUAUCCGCGCCGCAUUAGCUAGUUGGUAAGGUAACGGCUUACCAAGGCGACGAUGCGUAGCCGACCUGAGAGGGUGAUCCGCCACACUGGAACGGAGACACGGUCCAGACCCCUACGGGAGGCAGCAGUAGGGAAUCUGGCGGAAGGGGCGAAAGCCUGACGGAGCAACGCCGCGUGAGUGAUGAAGGUCUUCGGAUCGUAGAACUCUGUUAGUAGGGAAGAACAAAUGUGUAAGUAACUAUGCACGUCUUGACGGUACCUAAUCAGAAAGCAACGGCUAACUACGUG
rnacentral:rRNA from 1 species